rnacentral:rRNA from 1 species
AUUGAACGCUGGCGGCAGGCCUAACACAUGCAAGUCGAGCGAGCGGCGGACGGGUGAGUAAUGCCUGGGAAUUGCCCAGUCGAGGGGGAUAACAGUUGGAAACGACUGCUAAUACCGCAUACGCUUGGAUUGCCAAGGUGGGAUUAGCUAGUUGGUGAGGUAAUGGCUCACCAAGGCGACGUACCCUAGCUGGUCUGAGAGGUUGAACGGCCACCCUGUAACGAAAACACGGUCCAGACUCCUCCGGAGGGCCGCGGUGGGGAAUAUUGCAAAAUGGGGGAAGUCCGGAUGCAGCCAUCCCGCGUGGGUGAAGAAGUCCUUCGGGUUGUAAGGCACGUUCGGCGAGAAGGCGUUACUCGAAGAAGAAGCGCCGGCUAACUCCGUGCCAGCAGCCGCGGUAAUAC